rnacentral:rRNA from 1 species
GGGGAACUGAAACAUCUAAGUACCCCGAGGAAAAGAAAUCAACCGAGAUUCCCCCAGUAGCGGCGAGCGAACGGGGAGCAGCCCAGAGUCUGAAUCAGCUUGUGUGUUAGUGGAACGGUCUGGAAAGUCCGACGGUACAGGGUGAUAGUCCCGUACACCAAAAUGCACAGGCUGUGAACUCGAAGAGUAGGGCGGGACACGUGGUAUCCUGUCUGAAUAUGGGGGGACCAUCCUCCAAGGCUAAAUACUCCUGACUGACCGAUAGUGAACCAGUACCGUGAGGGAAAGGCGAAAAGAACCCCGGCGAGGGGAGUGAAAAAGAACCUGAAACCGUGUACGUACAAGCAGUGGGAGCACCUUCGGGUGUGACUGCGUACCUUUUGUAUAAUGGGUCAGCGACUUAUAUUCUGUAGCAAGGUUAACCGUAUAGGGGAGCCGCAGGGAAACCGAGUCUUAACUGGGCGUUAAGUUGCAGGGUAUAGACCCGAAACCCGGUGAUCUAGCCAUGGGCAGGUUGAAGGUUGGGUAACACUAACUGGAGGACCGAACCGACUAAUGUUGAAAAAUUAGCGGAUGACUUGUGGCUGGGGGUGAAAGGCCAAUCAAACCGGGAGAUAGCUGGUUCUCCCCGAAAGCU